rnacentral:rRNA from 1 species
AUUGAACGCUGGCGGCAGGCCUAACACAUGCAAGUAGAACGAGUGGCGGACGGGUGAGUAAUGUCUGGGAAAAUGCCUGAUGGAGGGGGAUAACUACUGGAAACGGUAGCUAAUACCGCAUACCAUCGGAUGUGCCCAGAUGGGAUUAGCUAGUAGGUGGUGUAACGGCUCACCUAGGCGACGAUCCCUAGCUGGUCUGAGAGGAUGACCAGCAACACUGGAAAUGAGACACGGUCCAGACUCCUACGGGAUGCAGCUGUGGGUAAUAUUGCACAAUGGGCGCAAGCCUGAGGCAGCCAUGCCGCGUGUAUUAAGAAGGCCUUCGGGUUGUAAAGUACUUUCAGCGGGGAGGCGUUACCCGCAGAAGAAGCACCGUCUAACUCCGUGCCAGCAGCCGCGGUAAUAC